ensembl:lncRNA LINC02055 long intergenic non-protein coding RNA 2055
UUGGAUAUAGCUGCUACUCUUUCGUCUUGGACCCCAGAAUGAACGUGUGGAUCUCCAGCCUCCCCACUAACCUGUGGGCCUGAGAACAAGAGCUCCCUGUUGCACUGCUGACUGAUACACAUAGUGCAAGCACAGCUGGCCCUCCAUACAGCUUGGGAAGAUGGAUCAAUAUGGCCUGUAGAGUAAGAAGACCUAUAUCCAGAUCUGCAUUUUACUGUUUUCUCUGGGGGGAUUGGAGAUAAUGCUGCAGAAAAGCCAAGUACACUCCCAAGGAUAGGAUUUGGCAGGAGCAGCUGCGACAGUGAGCUGGUGGAUCCCUGGCCAGGAGGGAGCACAAUGAUAAAAGAUUCAGGACUGUCAGAAAUGCUGGAUGCUGUAGAAAAGGAUUGGAUGAUGCCUUCUCACUGGCCCCAGGGCUCUUGGAAUUUGUUCUAGAGAAGCACAAAAAGAAGGGAGCAGGUGCUGGGAGCCACAUCUCAAGUUGAAAAGCAUACAGAACAAUUAUUUACUGAGAACUUGUGAAUGCCAAGAGCUGAUCAUGUGUGGCUGGAAUGGUAAGAGGUUGUGUGAGGAAUAUGAUCUAAAUUAGACCUGGUACCAUCCUUUAAGAGACCUUAUGGUAAUAACCAGAGUGAGCAAAAAUGCAGCACUGGGAAUCAAUGCUUAGGAUAGGAUAUGUUGUAGAACACUCCAAACUCUGGGUUACAAAUUAGAAUACUAAAAUCCCUAUUACACAGAUAGUUUGUAUGGCUAUUUAAAGAUAUCAUGCCACACCUCUGCUCAGCAUCAGUGUCCUGCUCUAUUCAUACCUGCAUGAAAAUAAGUUCACUUUAUUUGCCACUGAAUAGGUUUCCAUAAUUAGAAGGGAAUUUUUACUCCUCCCUGCAGGAGGGGAAGAUAUAAACUGAACAAUCCAUGACUGAAGCAGAAAUAACUUCACUAAUGGCUGAAUUUGGGGAGAGAUAAAGAGCAUGUCCAACUCUGUCUCUUCUCUCUCCUCUUUCAAAACUGCUUGUCCAUAGAGAGGGUGAAUUUUUCCAUUCACCCAUUGAUAUAGUCAGUAUAUUUGUCCCCACCCAAAUCUCAUGUUGAAUUGUAA